rnacentral:lncRNA from 1 species
CAAAGUUGAAGUGGAUGCAAUCAGAACUGAAUGUUGAAGAAGUGGUAAAUGACAGGAGCUGGAAGGUGUUUAAUGAACGCUGUCGAAUUCACUUCAAGCCUCCAAAGAAUGAAUAAAGAGAGAUCCUUUUUUUAAAAGAAGAACCGGGUCAUCUCAUGAGAGCUAAGCACGACAGACAUCAACAGGGUGGGCUUCUUAGGAUGAUUUCUGAGCCAACAGUCCAAGACCUUUUGUUGAUUUCAGCCCCACUUAGCCAAGACCUCAAGUCUAAAUAAUUCUGAUAAUUAUAAAAUAAUCAAUUGCUAUUUUAUACUGAUUCUGUAAAAAAGUGUUUUAUAACUAUUAAAAUAAUUUUCUGAAAAAAAAAGCAUAUUGG